rnacentral:rRNA from 1 species
AGCGAACGCUGGCGGCAUGCUUAACACAUGCAAGUCGCACGGGCAGCAAUGUCAGUGGCGGACGGGUGAGUAACGCGUAGGAACGUGUCCUGAGGUGGGGGACAACCCCGGGAAACUGGGGCUAAUACCGCAUAUGGGCUGAGGCCCAAAGCCGAGAGGCGCCUUUGGAGCGGCCUGCGUCCGAUUAGGUAGUUGGUGGGGUAAAGGCCUACCAAGCCUGCGAUCGGUAGCUGGUCUGAGAGGACGACCAGCCACACUGGGACUGAGACACGGCCCAGACUCUGGCGGGAGGCAGGGGGGGGAGAAGUUGGAGAGAGGGCCAAAACCUAAUCCGAAAGGCCCGCGGGGGUGAAAAGGGGCUUGGGAACAAAAAGCCCUUCCGGCGGGGAGGAUGAUGACGGGACCAGAAAAAAAAGCCCCGAUUAACUCUGG